rnacentral:rRNA from 1 species
GACGAACGCUGGCGGCGUGCUUAACACAUGCAAGUCGAACGGAAAGGCCCUGCUUUUGUGGGGUGCUCGAGUGGCGAACGGGUGAGUAACACGUGAGUAACCUGCCCUUGACUUUGGGAUAACUUCAGGAAACUGGGGCUAAUACCGGAUAGGAGCUCCUGCUGCAUGGUGGGGGUUGGAAAGUUUCGGCGGUUGGGGAUGGACUCGCGGCUUAUCAGCUUGUUGGUGGGGUAGUGGCUUACCAAGGCUUUGACGGGUAGCCGGCCUGAGAGGGUGACCGGCCACAUUGGGACUGAGAGACGGCCCAGACUCCUACGGGAGGCAACAGGGGGGAAUAUUGCACAAUGGGCGGAAGCCUGAUGCAGCGACGCCGCGUGCGGGAUGCCGGCCUUCGGGUUGUAAACCGCUUUCGCCUGUGACGAAGCGUGAGUGACGGUAAUGGGUAAAGAAGCACCGGCUAACUACGUG